GCCACCAAACCUGAUUUUGCCCCAAGGCCACCUGCUAUCCUCUCCAUCGGUAAUGCUCCAAGACCAGAGCACAAAUUCAUCAGACCCCAAACUAGACCAAGUAAAGAAAAGAAAUCAGACUCCAGACUACACCCAAAAUGCUUACCACCCAUCUUCACUUCUGAGCACUGCCUUGUUAAAGCUCCUGACAUAGGCUGGCAUCAGAAACCUGUGUACCAGGCUGAGCCCAACCCCCCACGCAAAUCCUCUCUCCUGCACUGUGUUUGUUACCUGCUCCAAUAUUGAAUAAAGCCUGAAGAUUUUGCAUACUUCUACUGGGGGUCCUCAAACGACGUUCCGCGGGCCACAUGCGGCCUGCGGAGGACAUUUAUCCGGCCCCCUGGGUGUUUUUGCCGCUGCUGCCUAAGGACUUCCCUGUGUCCCG